UACGUAGGGUGCGAGCGUUAAUCGGAAUCACUGGGCGUAAAGCGCACGUAGGCGGGUUCUUAAGUCGGAGGUGAAAUCCUGGAGCUCAACUCCAGAACUGCCUCGAUACUGGGAAUCUCGAGUCCGGGAGAGGUGAGUGGAACUGCGAGUGUAGAGGUGAAAUUCGUAGAUAUUCGGAAGAACACCAGUGGCGAAGGCGACUUACUGGACACAUAUUGACGCUGAGGUGCGAAAGGCGUGGGGAGCAAACAGG
rnacentral:rRNA from 1 species